UGACCACGAGACUGAUAACGAACAAGUACCGUGAGGGAAAGUUGAAUAGAACUAUAAAGAGAGAGUUCAAAAGUACGUGAAACCGUUCAGGGGUAAACCUGAGAAUCCCGAAAGAUCAAAAGGAGAGUUUCAAUGUUAUCGUUGUCUUCCAUUUAUUGGCGUGCGAUUGACCGGGAUUCGUCCCGCGAUACGCCGUCGGUUUAUGCGUUAGGCGACGUUGGAAUGCACUUCUCUCUCAGUAGGACGUCGCGACCCGUUUGGUGUGGACCUACGACCGCGGCGGUAGCCUGUCACGAAUUUAUUCGCGCCAGAUCCCGCGUGCUCCAGCCGACUGCCAGACGGUAUAAAUGAUAUGAUAUAGGGUCGCUUUUAAGCGUUCGGCCGGUUGCAAUCACGGACGGUUAUUGGCCGUCGGACCUAGUCCGGCAUCGAAGCCGUCUCGAGCUGUUAGCUACCGUGUUCUCGGACGGACUCUAUUACUGGUCAGCGAUGCUAUUGCUUUGGGUACUUUCAGGACCCGUCUUGAAACACGGACCAAGGAGUCUAGCAUGUGCGCGAGUCAUUGGGAAAUACAAAACCUAAAGGCGCUACCUAAAGUACACGCUAGAACCCGAAAGAUGGUGAACUAUGCCCAGUCAGGUCGAAGUCAGGGAAAACCCUGAUGGAGGAUCGUAGCAAUUCUGACGUGCAAAUCGAUCGUCGGAACUGGGUAUAGGGGCAAGAGACUAAUCAAACCAUCUAAUAGCUGGUUCCCUCCGAAGUUUCCAUCAGGAUAGCUGGCAUUCGAUGAGCGAGUCUCAUCCGGUAAAGCGAAUGAUUAGAGGCCUUGGGGCCGAAACGACCUCAACCUAUUCUCAAACUUUAAAUGGGUGAGAUCUCUGGCUUGCUUUGGAUCAGAGUGCCUAGUGGGCCACUUUUGGUAAGCAGAACUGGCGCUGUGGGAUGAACCAAACGCCGAGUUAAGGCGCCUAAACGACGCUAAUGGGAUAUCAUAAAAGGCGUUGGUUGCUUAAGACAGCAGGACGGUGGCCAUGGAAGUUGGAAUCCGCUAAGGAGUGUGUAACAACUCACCUGCCGAAGCAACUAGCCCUGAAAAUGGAUGGCGCUGAAGCGUCGUGCCUAUACUCGGCCGCCAGGGCAUGAGAAACGUUCAUAAUAGUUCGUUUUGACGCCCUGUUGAGUAGGAGGGUCGCGGCGGUGUUCGCAGUAGGGUUUCGGCGUAAGCCUGCCUGGAGCCGCCAUCGGUGCAGAUCUUGGUGGUAGUAGCAAAUACUCCAGCGAGGCCAAGGAGGACUGACGUGGAGAAGGGUUUCGUGUGAACAGCCGUUGCACACGUGUCAGUAGAUCCUAAGCCCCAGGAGAAAUCCUAUGUUGAUGUUGGUGUAUUUUAUUUUAAAUAAAAUUUCACACCCAUCGGGCGAAAGGGAAUCCGGUUCCUAUUCCGGAACCCGGCGGCGGAACCGUUUACAAGUCGGGCCCUCGCAAGAGAGUUUGUCGGGGUAACCCAAAGUGACCUGGAGACGCCGUCGGAAAAUACGGAGAUAGUUUUCUUUUCUGUAUAAGCGUUUGAGUUCCCUAGAAUCCUCUAAAAUGGAGAUAGGGUUUGGAACGCAAAGAGCACCGCUGUUGCGGCGGUGUCCGUAUCUUCCCCUCGGACCUUGAAAAUCCAGGAGAGGGCCACGGUAGGUGUCGCGACGGUUCGUACCCAUAUCCGCAGCAGGUCUCCAAGGUGAAGAGCCUCUAGUCGAUAGAUAAAUGUAGGUAAGGGAAGUCGGCAAAUUGGAUCCGUAACUUUGAGAUAAGGAUUGGCUCUGAGGAUCGGGGCGUGCCGGGCUUGGUUGGGAAGCGGGCGUAGGCCGAUGUGCCGGGCCUGGGCAAGGUGAAAUUGUCCUUGUGACUUAGAUCCUAGCUCGGUCCCGUGUCUAGGCCCACCGCGGAUCUUUCUUGCUGCAAGGUUUCUGUGCCGGCUUCGGUCGGUCAGUCGUACUUUUCGGCCGCCAUUUAACGGUCAGCUAAGAACUGGCACGGACUAGGGGAAUCCGACUGUCUAAUUAAAACAAAGCAUUGCAAUGGCCCUAGCGGGUGUUGACGCAAAGUGAUUUCGGCCCAGUGCUCUGAAUGUCAACGUGAAGAAAUUCAAGCAAGCGCGGGUAAACGGCUAACUAAGACUGUCUUAAUUUGGUGGGAGUGGUUGUUGUUCUUCGGGACCACAGCUAGCAAGUGGCCUUUCCUCCUCGUGGGUCCCAUCGUAAGUACCCCUUCGGGGGAAAACCAAGGGCCACCUCUGUGCAUAAUAGACCUGGGGGCUACCAACCCCCUCGUCCGUAUAACAAAGUCGGUACAAAUUCAAACACAAGCCUCGGAUGCAAAAAUUUAGAUUUAGAAUUAGAAGAACCCACUGGUUCUUCCCAACCGGCGAGCAGAGAUGGUCAUUUAUGCCGUUUUCCACUAUGCGGCAAAUAUUUCGCAACUUCGAUUGGUCAGGGUGUGCACGAACAGAGAACACACAAGGAAUGGUACGACCAAGAAUUAGCCAAAAUCGCGCCCAAGAAAGCAAGGUGGACGGAAGAGGAGCUGAUCAUUAUGGCCAAAG
rnacentral:rRNA from 1 species